AACAAAACUGACAGAUGAUGGAUACAAAAAUUAUUUCUUAACUGCAAUUUGCGGGUGAAUCCCCAUGUAGCUGAUUGGGCCAUUUGUGUGAACAUCUAAAAAUAGCCUCUGAUGCUAAUAUAACACAAAUGAUUGCUCCUACUUAUAAGUCCCUGGUGUGAUACAAAGAAACAUACCAUUUACAUCCUUUGAGGAAGUUGUCAGGCCGCUGCUCAAACUCCCUCCAUGCUCCUAAGUUUCUCCACAGCUUCCCAUCUCUCCAUAAUCUUCGUCCAUCGGAUAUGUAGCAGGCUCUAUCUUGUCUAGGCUGGGAGAUACAAUACUCUUUGUAGUGAAUCUCGACUCUUCGUCUAUCUCCAUGCUUCUAUACCCAAGAAGCAAGUCAUGGUGACAUCUGAAUAAUGAACAAGAUAUAUUCCUCAAGAAAAAGCAGAUACAUAGACAUAUACAGUAUUACGUUUUUCAUGUGAUUUUUUAUCAUAAACAUUCCUUUAUAAAGGAAACAUGUUUUGUUGCUAUCAAGUUGAUUUAUGUGUUAUUGAAGUGUAUAAAGCAACCAGUCAUAUUUUAUAAACUGCGUUAUAGAUUAUACUUUUGGAUAAACCAAAAUGCUUUCUCUUUUAUCCAUUCAGUUCAAGACUUUACAUUCUUACAGUAAAAGCAAGUGUAGAUACAGGGGGAUAUCCAUUGAAUGAAAACAGUAAAAGUCAUGUCUCUAUUUUGUAUAAUUAACUUAUAAAGUAUAAAACAUAUGUUUGGGUAAACCAUUUAUAAAACCAAGGAUCCAGACCGUUUUUGGACAAAUUGAAGCAAAAGCUUAUUCAAUUGUUAUUAUUUCUACAUUAUUUGUAGUCAUCAUAGAUUGCAAGAUAAAAAAACAAAAUACUAUACAGGUGCAUUCUGAUUCGAAAAGUAAAAAGAUAGACUCAAUUAUGGCUUCAACUCACUUAGAUGGAUAUCAAGCAUUUCUUUUAUAGCCCUUCAAUGGUUUAGUGUACAUAUGUGUAAGUAUACAAGCUGAGACAUUGUACAAAGGGUUAUCUGCUGUUUCUGUGAGCCAGUUGUGCACUAUAAAAAAUAUUGUAAUAAAUGUUUUCUUUCAUUGUA